rnacentral:rRNA from 1 species
GUGCCAGCCGCCGCGGUAAUACGUAGGGUGCGAGCGUUGUCCGGAAUUAUUGGGCGUAAAGAGCUCGUAGGCGGUGUGUCACGUCGGCCGUGAAAACCUGCAGCUUAACUGUGGGCGUGCGGUCGAUACGGGCAUCACUGGAGUUCGGCAGGGGAGACUGGAAUUCCUGGUGUAGCGGUGAAAUGCGCAGAUAUCAGGAGGAACACCGGUGGCGAAGGCGGGUCUCUGGGCCGAUACUGACGCUGAGGAGCGAAAGCGUGGGGAGCAAACAGGAUUAGAAACCCUUGUAGUCC